rnacentral:rRNA from 1 species
AUUGAACGCUGGCGGCAGGCCUAACACAUGCAAGUCGAACGAGUGGCGGACGGGUUAGUAAUGUCUGGGAACCUGCCUGAUGGAGGGGAUAAAUACCGGGAACGGUAGCUAACAUCCCAUACCAUCAGCCUUGCCCAGAUGGGAUUUGCUUGUUGGUGGGGUAAUGGCACACCAAGGAGACGAUCCCUAGCUGGUCUGAGAGGAAGACCAGCCAAACUGGAACUGAGACACGGUCCAGACUCCUACGGGAGGCAGCAGUGGGGAAUAUUGCACAAUGGGCGCAAGCCUGAUGCAGCCAUGCCGCGUGUAUGAAGAAGGCCUUCGGGUUGUAAAGUACUUUCAGCGGGGAGGCGUUACCCGCAGAAGAAGCACCGGCUAACUCCGUGCCAGCAGCCGCGGUAAUAC